GACGAACGCUGGCGGCGUGCUUAACACAUGCAAGUCGAGCGGAAAGGCCACUUCGGUGGUACUCGAGCGGCGAACGGGUGAGUAACACGUGAGUAAUCUGCCCUCCACUUUGGGAUAGCCACCGGAAACGGUGAUUAAUACCGGAUAUGACCUCGCAUCGCAUGGUGUGUGGUGGAAAGUUUUUCGGUGGGGGAUGUGCU
rnacentral:rRNA from 1 species